rnacentral:rRNA from 1 species
AAGGAUGAAAGCAGGGGACCGCAAGGCCUUGUGCUCCUGGAGCGGCCGAUAUCUGAUUAGCUAGUUGGUGGGGUAAAGGCCCACCAAGGCAUCGAUCAGUAGCUGGUCUGAGAGGACGACCAGCCACACUGGAACUGAGACACGGUCCAGACUCCUACGGGAGGCAGCAGUGGGGAAUUUUGGACAAUGGGCGCAAGCCUGAUCCAGCAAUGCCGCGUGAGUGAAGAAGGCCUUCGGGUUGUAAAGCUCUUUUGUCAGGGAAGAAACGGUGGGGGCUAAUAUCCCCUGCUAAUGACGGUACCUGAAGAAUAAGCACCGGCUAACUACGUGCCAGCAGCCGCGGUAAUACGUAGGGUGCAAGCGUUAAUCGGAAUUACUGGGCGUAAAGCGUGCGCAGGCGGUUUUGUAAGACUGUCGUGAAAUCCCCGGGCUCAACCUGGGAAUGGCGAUGGUGACUGCAAGGCUAGAGUUUGGCAGAGGGGGGUAGAAUUCCACGUGUAGCAGUGAAAUGCGUAGAUAUGUGGAGGAACACCGAUGGCGAAGGCAGCCCCCUGGGUCAAAACUGACGCUCAUGCACGAAAGCGUGGGGAGCAAACAGGAUUAGAUACCCUGGUAGUCCACGCCCUAAACGAUGUCUACUAGUUGUCGGGUCUUAAUUGACUUGGUAACGCAGCUAACGCGUGAAGUAGACCGCCUGGGGAGUACGGUCGCAAGAUUAAAACUCAAAGGAAUUGACGGGGACCCGCACAAGCGGUGGAUGAUGUGGAUUAAUUCGAUGCAACGCGAAAAACCUUACCUACCCUUGACAUGGCUGGAAUCCCUGAGAGAUUGGGGAGUGCUCGAAAGAGAACCAGUACACAGGUGCUGCAUGGCUGUCGUCAGCUCGUGUCGUGAGAUGUUGGGUUAAGUCCCGCAACGAGCGCAACCCUUGUCAUUAGUUGCUACGAAAGGGCACUCUAAUGAGACUGCCGGUGACAAACCGGAGGAAGGUGGGGAUGACGUCAAGUCCUCAUGGCCCUUAUGGGUAGGGCUUCACACGUCAUACAAUGGUACAUACAGAGGGCCGCCAACCCGCGAGGGGGAGCUAAUCCCAGAAAGUGUAUCGUAGUCCGGAUUGUAGUCUGCAACUCGACUGCAUGAAGUUGGAAUCGCUAGUAAUCGCGGAUCAGCAUGUCGCGGUGAAUACGUUCCCGGGUCUUGUACACACCGCCCGUCACACCAUGGGAGCGGGUUUUACCAGAAGUAGGUAGCUUAACCGCAAGGAGGGCGCUUACCACGGUAGGAUUCGUGACUGGGGUGAAGUCGUAACAAGGUAGCCGUAUCGGAAGGUGCGGCUGGAUCACCUCCUUUCUAG